CUGAGCUGAGUGCAUCAGAUCGUCAGCUGCAGAGUAGACGCGACACAGCUCAAAUUUAAAUCUGGNUUNUCGGGCCCGAGUUGUAUUGUAAAGGAUGCUUUGUGCGGUGCUUCCCCGUUCCUGGACGGGACGCCNUAGAGGGUGAGAGCCCGUACGUGGAUACCUAGCCUCUGUAAAGCUCCUUCGACGAAGUCGAGUAGUUUGGGAAUGCUGCUCUAAAUGGGNAGGUAAAUUUCUUCUAAAGCUAAAUACCGGCCAGAGACCGAUAGCGCACAAGUAGAGUGAUCGAAAGAAUGAAAAGCACUUUNGAAAAGAGGGUUAAAUAGCACGUGAAAUUGUUGAAAGGGAAGCGUUUGCGACCAGACCUUUUUCCGGGGGGAUCAUCCGGUGGUUCUCACCGGUGCACUCCGCCUGGUUUAGGCCAGCAUCCGGUUUCCUUAGGGGGAUAAAGGCUGCGGGAAGGUGCUCCCUCGGGAGUGUUAUAACCCUCUGCAUAAUACCCCUUGGGGGACCGAGGANCGCGCUCUGCAAGGAUGCUGGCGUAAUGGUCGUCAACGACCCCUCUUGAAACACGGACCAAGGAGUCGAACAUUUNUGCGAGUGUUUGGGUGUUAAACCCCUCCCCCGUAAUGAAAGUGAACGGAGGUGAGAGCCCUUCUGGGGGGCUCAUCCACCGANCCUGAUGUUUUCCGAUGGAUUUNANUAAGAACAUAACUGUUCGGACCCNAAANAUNGUGNAUAUAUNCGUGGAUAGGGUGAAGCCAGAAGAAAACUUCUGGUGGAGGCUCGCCGCGGUUCUUACGUGCAAANNNCAUCANNUCUNNGCNNGGGGGCGAAAGANUNAUNNAACCAUCUANUAC
rnacentral:rRNA from 1 species